rnacentral:lncRNA from 1 species
GCUAAGGGGAAGGUUUGUGAGUAUAAGCAGCUCAAGGAAACUCCAAAACAGAGGAUUGUACAGAGGCUGCAUGCAGCUGAGGGGGUGAUCUGCAUAGAAUCACAGCUGACUAUUGUGAUCUGUCACAAAAGCAAGGUUUUGU